AUAUGCGUGGGUUAGUGCCUAAUUUAAAGCAAACAGCCGAGUAAUUCAAUUUGAAAAAAAACGUUAAAUAUCCAUGUCAUGACCUCUAUCUCGUUUUUCAUAUAAACUGCGUAGUUUCCACAGUUUGAGUCGGAUAUCCCCAAUUUUCUAUAAUUAGAUUAUAACGCGAUAACAUCAAUACAUGCUGUAUAUAUAUGCUUGCAUAUUCCAUUAAUAAUUUGUAUUCAAAUACAACAGUUCAGAAUGGCUGUCAUCUUGAGCAAAGGUAUUUUGGUAUUUACUCUGAUGGCGAUAUCGCUGACAGUUUCACAUCAGACUGUGGUACAAUAUACAACAGAUUUUACAGAUGUGAAAGUCUUUACAGCCGAUCAAACUGAGAUUAGCCUGGAUGUUCAAGUAAACUAUAGACAAAAUCAAUGGGAAGAUAUAAUUGUUGAUCCACGUGAAAACCCCAACCUCUACCAACAGAUAGUCAACUUUACAGUUAUAAAUGCACUGAAGGGUACCGGCGGAUUAUUUCAAUUGAUAGAUUAUUAUCAACAAAGAGAUGUCGUAGAAGCAUCCUUUAGGGAUGCCAUAGAUUUGAGAUUUACAGGGGUGUGUUGCGGUAUUGGAUGUAUCAACAAAAACGGAGAUUGUAGACAAGGCUGUAAACCUAGAGAUACCUGUACGACUUUUGACAAGGGUAUUUAUACCAUACUGGACAAGUUUAUUCUCGUGGAUGUUCACGUUCCUGAUUUCAUCAGACAUAGAAUAGAACAGCUUCUAGAAACAGAAAUUAUUGCAUCUACAGAAUAGUGGUAUUGAACAUAGAUGGCAUAAUUUCAUACAAUGCUACUCCCUGAUGUAUGGGUGUCAUUUUUUUUUCUUAUGUCUGCUGCUUGAUGAGUGACCUGACAAAUAAAUAAAUGCAAUCUGAAUCUUA